UUUAUGCAAUAUCACAGAUUCACAAUACUUCUCUCAUGGGAUAAUCAAUAAUGAGUCAUUUUUCCCAACACCAAACAAAAUGUAUUUCAGCCAAAAUUGUCUCCAACUUCCCACUUGCCAGCAACAGCAACCUCAGCACUGCCCCUCUCAUCUUCUCCAUGUUUCCUCCAUCGUAAAUCCCUCGCUUCCUCAUCCUGGAUAUAAAAUAAUACAAAUGCUUUGAUGGGUAAUCCAAAUUUUUAGACCCGAGAGUGAGAGGUAUGUUGUCCUUCUAUCAAAGGAUGAUAAUGCUUGCUUCAAGUUUCAAGCAAUGAAAAAUCCUGAGUCUUCUUUCCCUUCCUUUUUGAUGAAGAUAAGGAUGAGCAACAGGCCAAGGAUGAGGAAUAGUGAGUUGAACAUGAAAGAGCUGUAAUUAUCAGCUUUGGAUGAGAUGGACAAGUGAUGAAGUUUGAGAUUGAAGGCUGGUUGGUCUCCUUAGCCAGAAGGAUUAGUUAGUUAGAGAGAAAUUAUUAAUAGUUUGUUUCCUAAACUUUCUGAAGUGUAGAGGAUAAGAUUGGGUUGUUUGCUAGUUGUUAUCAAGUUUAUGUUAUGAGUUAGGUGCUUAUCAUAAGUUGGAUUGCCCAUAUGUCGUGUCCUAUAUGCUAUUUAAAGGGAAACAAAUUAAUAAAGAUGGUACCAGAAAAUUAACACUCAAA